rnacentral:tRNA from 3 species
UGGGGCGUCGUCAAGUGGUAAGACAUCAGGUUUUGGUCCUGACAUUCGGGGGUUCGAAUCCUCCCGCCCCAGCCA